GAAGUGGUGUCAGAUUUAAGCAGUUGUAGUAUUUCAGUUUUAUCAUUGGUAAAAGACCAACAAGUCAAUUUCUCCCACUAGUGCUAGACUCAUACGUUUGUUUGGUUGUAUUUACCCAGAAUGCCUUGCGCUAUUGUCCGCUACCUACUUUUGGAGCCGUCUCCGGUUCAUUUGGCAAUUUUAUAUUCAUUUAAACCAAACCACAGUUCACUUCAACCAAACCGAGACCUAGGUUUGUAGGCGGACCAGAGUUAUCUCUUUUGGUGCACAUCAGAGUGUGAUCAUGUAUUCACACCUCCCCAAAUGAACUGGACUUUCUAAGGAAACAAACCACAGCUGGAUUAAAGCGGACUAAACAGGGUUGGUAUGAACGCAUCCAUAUUGAUGUGGCACCAAGCUGGUUCUCUGGCACUACAGGACUGGAUCCUGUUUUUGGAGGAAAAGCCUUCCUCAAUGUUCAUGCUUCCAUCUCUCCAAGCUGCUGGGCUUCAAACCGGUCGCUCCUCUGCGGUGGGAUGAGCAUGCAGGCGGAAUGGGAGGCAGCACACAUUGUUGACACCUGUCUCUCCCAGGACGGGACGGCCUUUAUGACGUGGAACCAGCCGGAGACAGAUCUGACAGAGUUGCUGACAAGGACCGGGCUGCACGCUGGGAGCAACACCGCGGGCCAACACAAACAAGACUGCCUCUCCUCUCUGGGCGUGCAGCGAUAGCUACAGCUGGCAGCUGAGAAGUCUCAAGCUGUUCAUUAAGUCUGCCUCGCUCAGCACGCUUCCAUUUUCUGAGACCCGGUCCAAAGCAGACGCCUCCUAAUUGUUAUCGAGUCGGCAGGGAGAAAGUCUGAGCAGCAACAAGCUCAAAGACUAAAGCUCCCUCUGAGGCGACGGGAAUUGGGCGAGGAGCAGCAGAACCAGAGGAGUUGCAGAGGGGGUAAAGUCAGCGUGCUACAAAGAACAUUUGAAAUGGGCCAUUUAACAGCACUGUACUGCGCUCCCAGCCCAAGGCGCCAUUUGCAUACCUCCGAUCGGAUGAAGAUGGAUGGAGAAAAUCAGUGUCAGUGAGAUGAGCAUUUUAUCAAGGUUACGCUAUCCUCCAAACUCUUAAAACCUCUUUAUCUCAUCUCUGUUGUCAGAAUAUUAACUUAUCAACACCAGCCUUUUGUUGAAGCGAAAGGACGGAGCAACGGGGUUUAUCUGCCGGAAGAGAGGCGACACACCGGCCAGCCGGCUUCCAGAGGAGCAACGACAUUUAUUUCAAGAUGAUUUCAUCAUAAAAUGUAAGAGAAGGGCUAAUGGUGUCCAUCAGAAUUUCCUCAAACUGAUGUUCAUUUUUCAUUGUUUUAUCAUAGUAAGAGUGUAAAAAUACACAGAGGAAUUCAACAUAAAGUUAUAUUAACUGUUUUCUGAUUAGUCUGAAGGUUCUGUCGCUAAACAACAAGCCAAAAUCACUACCUGUUCAUCAAACAGGGUGAUGUUCAUUAUGGACAAACUGCGGUGGCCCUGACAGGAAAACUGCUUCAGCAAAUCAAAUUUUAAAACACAACAACAUAUUCUAAAACCAAGCACAACUAUAAAUUAAAAAACACAAUAACAUUAACAAAACAGAAGUGAUAGGAAAUCUGAGGCGUCGCUGAUUGGACAACACUUUAGACUUUAGAAGCAGAAGUUAUUCUGUCACUCAUACAGGCAGGCAGUCACAGCACUAUGUAUUGCAUAAACUGAAAAAGAACAAAGCCGAACAAAGUUUCGUAGAAUGUCCAGACUGAAAAGAUUCUUGGACUGUGGUAGAUAUGUUUCCAUCGCCAGUAGCAUUCAUACUUUCACCAAAUUACCUGAAGCCAGAAGAACUUCUGGUUCUUAAGUCAAAAGUGCUGUCAUCCAAUCAUAAAUGUCUUAGGCUUCCCACUAAGACCUACCUCUUCCGUUUUGUUAAUGUUGUGUUUUUAAAUUUGUAGUUGUGCUUAGUGAUUUGUACUUCAGGGCCACCGUACCAAACAUCCCUCUACUCACCCUCUCUCAUCCUACACAUGGAACGUUGUUCCAGAAGACACGUGUUUGUUUCAGAUGCAAUUUUUCAACUUGAGAUCAAACAACCUGCAUGCAUGCUGAAUCAGAUGCAAUAUCUACUCCUGGUAAGGAGGACACCUUCUUCUGAUUAAAUGUCGUUUGAUGGACUUUAAAUGGUUCAGAACCUGUAAUCGUUCCCAGAUUGAUGAGCAGCAACAGGCGCUCCUCUAUACUCUCUGUUGAUGUCUUCCCCCCUUGGCAUUGUGUUACCAUACUCCUGUUCCUGUUCCAAGGCUGCAAAACUCCAGCUUUUCUAGCUGCUACUUUCCCCUUUAAAGCUCUUCACACACAGCUUUUGUAUUCUGACUUUACUUUUGUAUAAACAGUAAAGUGAAUUCUUGUGUGUUUUUUAUUUUUUAUUUUUACCCUUGAUGUUAAAUUAUUUUUUUGAUUCCAGUAAACACUAGAUAUGGUUCAGUUUGUCCCAAGAAAAUUUAAAUAGGGUGUGUGUACUUUUAGCACUUCUUGAGAUGUUUGAUUGUUUUAUUAGGUUUUUCUAGGUUACUAAAAAAAAAGCAUUUUUCUAGUCACAUAAUUCACAAGAGUAUCUCCAGCUUCUCAUUGCACAGGUAGCUACAAAAUAUCCCUCCAUCUAUAUGCUUUUCAAAAUUAAAUCAAUA